rnacentral:rRNA from 1 species
UUGAACGCUGGCGGCAGGCCUAACACAUGCAAGUCGAGCGGAUGAAGGGAGCUUGCUCCUGGAUUCAGCGGCGGACGGGUGAGUAAUGCCUAGGUAUCUGCCUGGUAGUGGGGGAUAACGUCCGGAAACGGGCGCUAAUACCGCAUACGUCCUGAGGGAGAAAGUGGGGGAUCUUCGGACCUCACGCUAUCAGAUGAGCCUAGGUCGGAUUAGCUAGUUGGUGGGGUAAAGGCCUACCAAGGCGACGAUCCGUAACUGGUCUGAGAGGAUGAUCAGUCACACUGGAACUGAGACACGGUCCAGACUCCUACGGGAGGCAGCAGUGGGGAAUAUUGGACAAUGGGCGAAAGCCUGAUCCAGCCAUGCCGCGUGUGUGAAGAAGGUCUUCGGAUUGUAAAGCACUUUAAGUUGGGAGGAAGGGCAGUAAGUUAAUACCUUGCUGUUUUGACGUUACCAACAGAAUAAGCACCGGCUAACUUCGUG